UACGUAGGGGGCAAGCGUUAUCCGGAUUUAUUGGGCGUAAAGAGCGUGUAGGCGGCUUUGCAAGUCCGUUGUGAAAACUCGAGGCUCAACCUCGAGACGCCGGUGGAAACUGCAAAGCUAGAGUCCGGAAGAGGAGAGUGGAAUUCCUGGUGUAGCGGUGAAAUGCGCAGAUAUCAGGAAGAACACCCGUGGCGAAGGCGGCUCUCUGGGACGGUACUGACGCUGAGACGCGAAAGCGUGGGGAGCGAACAGG
rnacentral:rRNA from 1 species